UAAUAGCCCCGAUUGCAGCGGCAUCCUUUUUAUUUUUGCUCUGAAAAAUAAAAAGAUAUAGCGGCAAGCGGGAUUAAGC
rnacentral:sRNA from 1 species